AUGGCAAAGGAGCCGCCGGGAGCCUGGUUCGGCUUGGGUUUCUGAGGCUUUAGGGCAGGCGCCGGGCUCCGGAGGCGGGCGCCAGGUGCACAGUCUCGAGCCACUGCAGGCAGGCGUCGACAUCCGCCAUGUGAGCGCGAGCUGGAGCUUCACCGCCUUCGUGACCAGUGGAGGCCGCCUCGAGCUGUAGGGCUCAGCGAGCGGCGCAGCGGGAGGCUGCAGGGACGCGUGGGCCCCGGAGGGGCUCCUCGUGGUGCUGCGCGCCGGGCCCGGAUCGGGGGCGUUACUCCAGGCCUGGGCGCCGGCUCGGCCCUGCGCGGGGAUCCCUUGUGGGCCCAGAAUGUGGUGCUGGAGGCCGAAAGGGAAGACGAUCCCGGCAGUGAGGCCCAGGCUGGGAGGCUGCCCCUGCUGCCCCGCGCCGGUGCCUAUGUGAGCCUGCAGCCGCCCUUCUGCCGGCCUCUGGCUCCGGAGCUGCGGGUGCGCCAGCUGGAGCUGGGCGCGGAGCACGCAUUGCUGCUGGACGCGGGGGGCCAGGUGUUCUCCUGUGGCGGGCAGGCAUGGACAGCUGGGCCAUGGGACCCUGGAGGCAGAGCUGGAGCCAAGGCCCUUGGAGGCGUUGCAGGGCCUAGCCAUGGCUCAGGUGGCCGCGUGGGGCUGGCAUUCUGUCUGUGUGCGUGAGACUGGGGAUAUCUAUAUCUGGGGCUGGAAUGAAUCAGGGCAGCUCGCCCUGCCCACCAGGAGCCUGGCAGAGGAUGGGGAGACAGUUGCAAGGGAAGCCACAGGACUGAAUGCAGAUGGCUCCCAGGUGAAGAGAAUGGCGGGGGCUGAGGAUGGAGCCCCUGCGCCCUUCAUAGCUGUCCAGCCCUUCCCAGCUCUACUGGAUCUCCCCCUGGGCCCAGAAGCAAUCAAGGCCAGCUGUGGAUCCAGGCACACGGCUGUGGUGACACAGGACCUGUACACCUGGGGCUGGGGUAAAUAUGGACAGCUGGGCCACAAAGACACCAGCAGCUGGGAUCCGUCCCGCCGAGUAGAAUACUUCGUAGAUAAGCAACUCCAAGUAAAGGCCAUCACCUGUGGGCCCUGGAACACCUACGUGUAUGCUGUGGAGAAAGGGAAGAGCUGAUGUGCGUAAGUAUAUGUAAAACGCCUGUGAAACUCCCAUCUGGGUCAAGGAAAACUAUUGCCAGCACCCCAAGGGCCCUGUAUUUGCCCCUUUCCAUCACAGUCUUCCCUUUCACCUUCAAGCACGGUCCUAAAUUUGUCUGCUUUAGAAACAACUGGAGAGCAUUGAAAACUCUGCUGCCAAAGGUCAGCAUCCUGACAGUGAAAGCCUGGGGGUGUGGCCUAGAUAGUGGUAGAGUCCAAGCUCCGCCCACCUCACCCAGGGAAAUUUGAUGUGCAGCUGAGAUCGGAGCACGUUCCAGGUCAUCUUCCUUUUCAGUCUCUUCCCGGUUUUCGUUUGAAUUUUGCCGUAUUUGUAUGCAUUUUUAUUCAACAUGGGUGUUUGCCUUUGAGUGUUAGGUAAAUGGAAUCGUCCUGU